rnacentral:snRNA from 1 species
CUUAACGUGGUUAACACUUG